rnacentral:lncRNA from 1 species
GUGAAUCCCAGUCUCUACUAAAAAUACAAAAGUUAGCCAGGCAUGGUGGUGCACACCUGUAGUCCUAGCUACUUGGGAGGCUGAGGCAGGAGAAUCGCUAGAACCCAGGAGGCGGAGGUUGCAGUGAGCCAAGAUCAUGCCACUGCACUCCAGCCUGGGUGACAGAGUGAGACUGUCUCAAAAAAAUUUUUAAAAAGUAGCAGCUUAUUUAAUUCUCAUACAGUAGUAAGGAGCAUGCAAGUAGACCAUCAGAGAUGUAACGAAGCAGAUGCUGCUAUUAUUGCCCGUUUUGUUUUUGUUUUUUUAGAGACAGGGUCUCGCUCUGUUGCCCAGGCUGGAGUGCAGUGGUGUGAUCAUGGUUCACUGCAGCCUCAAACUCCUGAGACCAUCAGAGAUGUGAGGAAGAAGUUUCAGUCUGCAUCCUCAGCCACUUACUUGGUGUCUACAGAUGAGUGCCACAGCAGAAGACAGCCAGAAGAAAACUGAUUUCUACCUGCUCCGGAAGGUGUUCUGCCAUCUCCCCAUCUCAGUGGAGGCCACCACCAUGCCUUGUGCAGCCCCAAGCCUGGGCACUACCUUCACCUCCUUCUCCCUUCCUCCCCCAGCAAAUCCUGACACUUCUACCUUCAAGACAGCUGUGGAAUCUGCCCCCUUCUUCUUCUCCACCACCACUUGAAGUCACCACUAUCUCUGAACCACUUGGGCCCCUCUCUAGUCUCCCGGUCCCAUUCCUGCCCCCCAACCCCCUCCCUUUUUUUUCUUUUGAGAUGGAGUCUUGCUCUUGUCGCCCAGCCUGGAGUGAAAUGGUGUGGUCUCUGCUCACUGCAACCACCGCCUCCCGGGUUCAAGCAAUUCUCCUGCUUCAGCCUCCCGAGUAGCUGGGAUGACAGAUGUGCACUACCAUGAUGGGCUAAUUUUUGUAUUUUUAGUAGAGAUGGGGUUUCACCAUGUUGGCCAGGCUGGUCUUGAACUCCCAAGUGAUCUGCCCUCCUCCACCUCCCAAAGUGCUGGGAUUACAGGUGUGAGCCACCGUGCCUGGCCUCUUGCCCCCUUAAAUCUGUGUGCUACACAUAAUUUUCAAAUAUAAACCAGAGCCAGCACCUCCCGCCUGGCCCUCUGAGGGCUUCCCAUUGUUCUCGGAAUAAUCCCCAAGAGACUACCAGAGUACACGACCUGGUCCCAGCCUGUCUCUUCAGCUGAAACGCCUCUCCCCGCUCAUCAGACGCACUGCACUCUUUCUGUUCCUCAAAUGAGCUA